rnacentral:rRNA from 1 species
CGAAAGCCUGACGGAGCAAGACCGCGUGAGGGAGGAAGGCUCUAGGGUUGUAAACCUCUUUUAUCAGGGAAGAAGCUCUGACGGUACCUGAGGAAUCAGCAUCGGCUAACUCCGUGCCAGCAGCCGCGGUAAUACGGAGGAUGCAAGCGUUAUCCGGAAUCAUUGGGCGUAAAGCGUCCGCAGGUGGGAGUACAAGUCGAUUGUCAAAGGCAGUAGCUUAACUACUGAAAGGCAGUGGAAACUGAACAACUAGAGUGCGGUAGGGGUAGAGGGAAUUCCCGGUGUAGCGGUGAAAUGCGUAGAGAUCGGGAAGAACACCAGUGGCGAAAGCGCUCUGCUGGACCGGCACUGACACUGAGGGACGAAAGCUAGGGGAGCG